GAUUAAAAUUGAAGUAAUAACAUAAAACAGUGGUCAAGGUGUCGCUUGGCACAUACAAUAAAAGCUCUCGAAGCUAACAAAAUUCUCAAUACGCGAAAUCUCACAAAUCACAAGCUAAGGGAUACAUAAGAGGUUCUAUAUCAAAAAUGUCUAUACAAAGGAAUAAUACUGAAGAGCUAUACUUAUUACAGAAAGCUGGAAAGGGACUUCUCGGUCUACAGACGUAGCAGAUAUACCUCAAAGUCUCUACCGAAAUGCCUCCUUCCAAGGCUGACAAAACUGAGUGGGAGUACAUGUAUCUGCACAACAAAAAUAUGCAAAAGAGUAGCAUGAGCACACCACAUCGGUACCUAGUAAGUACCAAGACUAACCUUGAUAGAGUAGUGACGAGAAACAGUCAAGACACCUACCGGUCAAGUAAACAGUAUAAUUAUAGGAACAUCUGAAAUUAUAUACAUAUAUUUAUGUAAAGAGUGCACAGAAUGACCAUUAAUGCUACAAUCACAGUGAGGGAAAAAUAAGGACAAGUAAUAACGAGAAUAUAAGAAGUGAUGAUACAUAAUGACGACAAAACAUAAUCCAACUCCUAAGAUCACAGCACAGUAAGGGAAAAAACAAAACAAUAACUCAUGUUCUGCAGUGAUGUUCACAUAAGGUCUUAUUCAACUAUUUCCAUAUAUUUACCAAAUCUCAGUCAAACCACAACUCACGAAAACCCAACAUCUGAAAUCUAACACUUGGCAUCAUGUGCCCCCAUCAGUCUCACAGUCAUGCUAAUAGCUAACUGGCCAACUAGGGUCACUCUCACAUAUAUAAUGAUUAAAUGAGGACGUACCUCUAUACUUAGAAAAAUCAGGGGAACAUCACCUCCAAUAGGAGUAUUUCAACUACUUGUAUGCUUGUGCGAGUGUUUUAACAAGAUUUCUACCAGCUAAUAAAGAUAAGAAGAAGAGCAAGCAACACGCACAAUGUUCCCUCACCACAUCCACAAGAUAAAGCUCAUACAGGAAAGCAAACACAAUCAAAAUAUUAAACGAAAAUAGAAAUGCCUCUACAGGCCGUCACAAUCCUUACAAUCAAUCCCUGACAUAGCCUCCUUAUUUCACCACGUGUGAAAUUAAUAACAUAAUAAGUACCGCCUUAUUUCGCCACACGUGCAUCAUAGUAUUUUCCACCUUAUUUUACCACAUGUACAAAUCACAUAUAAGCAUAUGAAUAUAUCCCGCUUUAUUACGCCACAUGUGCAAUAUAUCAAUAGCAAUAAUAGCAUGGCAAAGACCUCGUGCAAAGCCUUAACAACAAUUGCACGGCAAAAAACUCGUGCAUCACAAUAUCAAUAACCACACGGAAGAAACCUCGUGUAUCACAAUAUCAACAAUCGUACGACAGAAACCUCGUGCAUCACAAUAUUAACAACCACAUGGCAGAAACACCGUGCAUCACAAUAUCAAUAACCGCACGUUAGAAACAUCGUGCAUCAACAAUAUCAAGUACAACAACAACAACAAAUACAAUAUAUACAAGAGCACAACAAGUGAAUUAACUCAAAAUCUUUGGUUCACCGGAGCGGUAAGACUAGCUCAUGAGGAAUAACCACAAUGGAAAGUACUAAGCGUAAUAAGAACAACUUAACAAGGGAGAAAAAUAAUAUGAAGCAACGUUCUCAUAAUACGUAGUUUAACAAGGAAGUUAUCAUAUCAAAUAAUUUCAAAUAAGGAAAUAUUAACUAAACAUAGAAUAUUCUAACUUCUUUACAGUGGGGCAAGUUACGAAGAAUAUACAACAAUUUCAGUUAAGGAUGAAUAGGGGAAAGAUAAUCGUAACCUCAAUUAAUACCAAUUAAUUGCAUGAGAGAUACUAAUGAUUUCAAAAUAGAGACCGGCAGUUAUGAAAGAUAGCGUAACUACGGAAGGGUAGGGAUCUUCAGUUAAACAAAGUCACAGUCAAUUAGGCAGCAAGAAUAAACCAAAAAGGGCAAUUAAAUUCCAAGUAAGACAUGUAGAGGUGAAACUAAAAACAGGGAACUCAAUCAUAUCAAGAACGACUUCAUACUCAAUGAUUACAAGGAUCUAAGAGACUAAAAGGGGAAAAUUUUCAUAAAUCAGGGAACUCAAUCAUAUCAAAAACAAUUUCAUACUCAGUGAUUACGAGGGUCUGAGAGCCUAAAAGGGGAAAAAUUAACAAAUCCACGCACACACUCGUCACCCACGUACAAGGAAUACAAUCAACAGAGAAGACUCAAAUUAUAAGGGGAAGUCCUCCACACAAGGUUAGGCACGAUGAUUAGCUCGAACUGGGUCAAAAUCAACUAGAAACUACGCUCUUGCCACGAGUACUCGACUCCAAAUGGCCCAAAUCUAUUCAAUUCAAUUACAUAUCGUAAAUAACAUCUCAAGCAACUGAUUCUAUGAUUUAAUUCAAAGCUAAAACAUAAAAUUAAGUAAAAUGACCAAAACGCCCCUCAGGCCAAUGUCUCAAAUUCGGGUGAAAUUAACGUUUUCAGAAAUCUCAUACUCUUACGAGCCCAACCUUAUAAAAAUCUCUCAAAUGGGAUGUCAAACACUCAUUCAAAACUCAAUAAUUCGGCCUAAGAAGUUCUACCAAAGUUUUAUGCAAAAAUCUGAAAUUAAAGGAUGAAAUUAAGAGGAGAUUCACGGAAAUUAGUCCAAACCGAGUAAGAAACACUUACCCAAGUCGCCCAGGUGAAAAUCCCUUCAAAAAUUGCCAAGAACCGAGUUUUAGAACUUAAAAUGUGAUAAAAAUGGUGAAACCCUCGAAUUUGGGAUUUAAUCUGUCUACCCAGGUAUUUGUUCAUCGCGAUCGCGGAAGAAGGGACACGAUCGCAUAGAAGAGAAUUCAAGGCUGCCAAGAAAUGCACAUUGCGAUCGCAUGAAAAGGGAUGCGAAUGCGAAGAAUAGCUGGUGGGUCUUACGCGAUCGUGUAGGUUUUUAUGCGAAUGCAAAGAGUACAAAUGAUCAACUGUCCCAACUCCUAAUUCCUACUAUACGAACGCAGGGUUAACGAUGCGAUCGCGAAGAAUAGAAAGAUAUACCUUCACGAUCACGGAAGGCAACUCGUGAUGAUGCCAAAUUUCGCAAACACGUCCAAAAUGACAUAACAGAGCUACUCCAACUCUCGGAAUUGCAUUUCAACCCCGAUAUCACAAAAGUCAGUUGUGGGUCAAACUUCUUCAUUUCCCAAACUUCAGCUUUUCCAAUUUUCGCCAAAAUGCCUCAAUUCACUCUAGACCUCCAAAUCUGAAUCUGGAUGUGCGCCUAAAUCCAAAAUCACUAUACGAAGUUGUUGAGAUUAUCCAUGACCCAUUCCAGGGUCGUUUACCGAAAAGUCCAAUUCUGGUCAACUUUUCAUUGUUCAAACUUCCAAAACUAGAUUCUUUCUUCCAAUUUGACUCUAAACCAUCCGAAAACCGAAUUCCACCAUGCACACAAGUCGAUACUCAUAUUCUGAAGCUAUUUCAGACCUUAUACCGUCGAACAAAGCUUAAUUUCUCAAAACGACCGAUCAGAUCGUUACAAUAUUGUAGUGUUCUAGGUGCAGAGAAUGAUGAUUGAAAUAUGUUUUUUAUAAUGACGGAAAAGGCCUCUUCAUAGGCUUUUCAGCCAUGUGCUUCAGAGCAUAAAAAUGGGAAUUAUUUCCAGCCCGCAAAAGGCAUAUUUCUAACUGAAUUGGGAUAGUUAUCAACCUCUAAUUAAUUUCAGCAUUUGUGCUGGCCAACUAGGGUCAGCUGCCCCAAAUUCUAGAAGUUUCUAACCCUAAUUUUAUCUGAAAAAUCAGAUUUCAUUUCCAACCUGAACCCCUAAGAUUUAGCUAUUAAAUUAGCACCCUAAAAGGUUUAGACAUUUAAAAACCAAGGCAAACAACUCUCUAAAACAGAAUCAAGGCAACCAAAAUCAAAUGGCAUCAAUUUCCUACAACCUAAUUAGGUUUAACAUUGAAAUGGAAUCAGAAAUGAACCAACAUUUGAACAAUUGAGACUGACAUCAGCAAGAAUUAACCAAUGAAUGAACCUAUUACUAAAAUUCGACCUUUGAACCAAUUAAUACAACCAUUUACAGGGACUCAAAAUACCACGAAAUAAUAAUAUACUGACUUCGAAAUAAAUUUCAUUAAACAUAAGUUAACCAAUUUAAAUAAAUCCUAAAUGAAAAAUUGGAUAUCUAACAAUUCUUAUGGCAAAUGCGUAAUUAAUGAGCCCUAAAACUAUUGAUUAAGCAUAAAUGAUAAAGCACAAAAAUUAAUUACAAAUCUAAAAAAAUAAACCCCAAGUCAUGCAACUAGACAUAAUAACAACCGUGAAGAAAAACCAAGAGAUGGGAGAAGAAAAUAACAGAGAAAAACAAAUAAAAAUAAAAACAAAAGAGAAUUACCUAUGUUUGCUCCAAACGGAAUUUACUACAAACCUGACCAGGCCUUAACAAAGCACAAGUGAACUCGAAGUACCAUUAAUCAACUGUUCUUAACAAGAACAAUCGACUAAUGGGUGCUUUUGGUUCACCUGACCAAUCGAUAGACCAAAAUACAAAAAGGGGGAAGAAUUAAGGUUCAUGAUUUCAGAUUCAAAAUUUGAGCAACUUGGAUAGGAAUUUUUGGGAAUCAAAGGCAAGCUAGCAAUGAGGGAAAAUCAAGAAUCAUUGGGUGUGAAUUUGGGGUUAUUUGGGUGAGUUAGGAUUUUGGGAAUCGAUCUUAAAUCUAAGAUUCGAACUGUUUGGGAGGGAUUCGAGGGACAUGGAUUAGGUAUUUGAAAAGAGGAAGCAAUGGGGGUUAUGGGAUAUUAGUUUGGAGUGAACUGGAGUGUCGGAAUCACCGUGAAGCGAUUCCCGGCAGGUGGUUGACGGAGGAGACGAGGGGGGGUUUAGGGCAGCAGCUAGAGUUCUAUUCUAUGAACUUGAGAGACGGGGAAUGAGGAGGCAU
rnacentral:lncRNA from 1 species